rnacentral:misc_RNA from 1 species
CAUCCACUGCAUCAACUCUUAUUGGAUUGCAUCGAGCCCAGAAACACUGAAAGCAUUCACUCCAUGUCACACCAACUAGAAGCAUGAACGGCAUUAGCCUCCUCAUUCUUUCUUCCCAAUCCCAUCUCCCACAAUACCAAGCAAAAUACUUUAAUUGAAAAGGGGAUACAAGCAAAUGCAUCAAUCUUGCAAUUUAAUUAUGCAGCAUUAAUGACU